GACGAACGCUGGCGGCGUGCUUAACACAUGCAAGCCGAACGGAAAGGCCCUGCUUUUGUGGGGUGCUCGAGUGGCGAACGGGUGAGUAACACGUGAGUAACCUGCCCUUGACUUUGGGAUAACUUCAGGAAACUGGGGCUAAUACCGGAUAGGGGCUCCUGCUGCAUGGUGGGGGUUGGAAAGUUUCGGCGGUUGGGGAUGGACUCGCGGCUUAUCAGCUUGUUGGUGGGGUAGUGGCUUACCAAGGCUUUGACGGGUAGCCGGCCUGAGAGGGUGACCGGCCACAUUGGGACUGAGAUACGGCCCAGACUCCUACGGGAGGCAGCAGUGGGGAAUAUUGCACAAUGGGCGGAAGCCUGAUGCAGCAACGCCGCGUGCGGGAUGACGGCCUUCGGGUUGUAAACCGCUUUCGCCUGUGACGAAGCGUGAGUGACGGUAAUGGGUAAAGAAGCACCGGCUAACUACGUG
rnacentral:rRNA from 1 species